ACAUUCCGCAUUCUGUGCAGCCUUGCCAGCUGGUGAGCGGGCAGAGCGGCAGGCCAGAGGUGCGGGUCUGUGGAGCAGCUGCAGCCACAGCAGCGUCAGCUCUGCAUGCCAGAGCUGUCAGCGUUUGGCCGGUCAGUGGGUUUGUGGGAAGGAGUCCCAGUCUUGAUCCUUCCUACUUCUGGGCAAUAAGUGAUUGGCACUGGAUCCAGUACUUCAUCCAUGACACUUUUGGUAUCCUGGCAUGGAAACUACGCAGCGCUGCCAUCUGGUAACUGGGAAGAGUGGCCUGCCAGAGGUCUGGUUCUUCGGAGCAGCUAUAGCCACAUCAGCAUCAUCUGUGCCUGCCAGAGUGAUCACCAUUUGUCCAUCCAAGUGCUUUUCUUUCCAGGAGGAUAUACUUGACCGGCUAGCUUAAAUGGAGAUACAAGUGAAAUCAAAGGCAGAAGAGCUUUCAGUUGGAUGUACCUCUGGAGACAUGCAAGAAUUCUUUGCAAAGAUGCCAGCACCCCUCACAGGCAAAACAGUAUGAGAAGCUGAGAAACCAAAACGUCCUUGGCUCUGUGCAGUACUACUCAGCAACAACUAAAAUCAUGAGUGAUCAUGAGUUAUCGAAAUAUUCUCCUAAAGCAAAAAUAUCCCAGCUAAAACUAGGACAUGCACCCUUAUCUUCUUAGAAAACACCUUUCUUGAGAGGAGGUAGGUAGCAACAAAGCCAUGUUGAAAAGUCCAGUGAUGAUCAAGAAGACUUCAGGGCCUUGUGGAGAGGGAUAAAAGGAUCAAGAGCACAGGCAGUACUCCCUUCUACCCUUCAAGUUGUGGGGAGUGGUAUUGAAAGAAACAGGUGAGCUUUAAAUAAGGUUUGAAGGGUUACAUUGAGAAAAUCAGGCUUACAAUUGAUAAGCAAUAGAAUAGCACGUCAGUGUUGGACAGCAAGCUAGUGAGGGUUUUGCUGAGUACUUUGGAGAAGUAUUUGAAGUGUUUGUAUACCAAUACAUGCAGUAUGAAAAAUAAAUAAGAGGAGCUAAAAGUGUGGCUCAGUC
rnacentral:lncRNA from 7 species